GCGUUUGUAGCUCAAUUGGAUAGAGCAUCAGACUUCGGAUCUGAGGGUUAGGGGUUCAAGUCCUCUCGGGCGCG
rnacentral:tRNA from 1 species